rnacentral:rRNA from 2 species
AGGUUAAGUUAACAAGGGCGCAUGGUGAAUGCCUUGGCACUAGGAGCCGAUGAAGGACGGGACUAACACCGAUAUGCUUCGGGGAGCUGUACGUAAGCUAUGAUCCGGAGAUUUCCGAAUGGGGCAACCCAGCAGUUUUAAUCAACUGUUACCACUAGAUGAAUUCAUAGUCUAGUUGGAGGUAAACGCUGUGAACUGAAACAUCUCAUUAGCAGCAGGAAUAUAAAGAAAUUUCGAUUCCCUAAGUAGCGGCGAGCGAACGGGGAACAGCCCAAACCAAAGUGCUUGCACUUUGGGGUUGUAGGACUGAACAUUUGAGUUACCAAAGAACUUGAUAGUCGAAGGAUUUGGGAAAAUCCGCCAUAGAUGGUGAUAGCCCAGUAGAUUAAAUCAAAUUCUCUCAGUUCAGGAUCCUGAGUACGGCGGAACACGUGAAAUUCCGU